rnacentral:rRNA from 1 species
AUUGAACGCUGGCGGCAGGCCUAACACAUGCAAGUCGAACGAGCGGCGGACGGGUGCGUACUGCCUAUGAAUCUGCCUGGUAGUGGGGGAUAACGUCCGCAAACGGAAGCUCAUACCGCAUACCCUCGGCAGUGCCUAGAUGGGGAUAGACAGUAGGUGGGGUACAGGCACCCCUAGGCGACGAUCCCUAGCGGGUCCGAGAGGAUGACCAGCCACACUGGAACUGAGACACGGUCCAGACUCCUACGAGAGGAAGCAGUGGGGAAUAUUGCACAAUGGGCGCAAGCCUGAUGCAGCCAUGCCGCGUGUAUGAAGAGGGCCUUCUGGUUGUAAAGUACUUUCAGCGGGGAGGCGUUACCCGCAGAAGAAGCACCGGCUAACUCCGUGCCAGCAGCCGCGGUAAUUC